UUGAUUGGGUAAAAACGUAAUCUUUAUUGUGAAGGUUGUAGAAACAGCAUGUAGUGGUGUAGUGUUAGCACGAAUGUAGAAAGGUUUUGUCCACCUCAUGGCCCACUGUGAGUUGUUAACAAUACGUUGACUGAGUAUUGAUUUUAAUUUUUAGACGCAACGCUGGUCAAAUCAAAAGCAUUGUUGGCAAUACGUUGGCAUAAUGCGUAUUUUGCUAGGUCGGCCUUUACUCUAAACGCAGUUGCUCCAUUUGCAGCUCCAAUUCAGUUGCGCCAGCUAACGCAAAAUGUGUUUUGUCUAAAUGUAAGUCCGAUACAGUUGUGCCAACUAAAAAAAAUGCAGUUGACCCAAUGGUGGCUGCUUGGGCCGGUAUAUACGUAAAUGCUGAUAGGGAAGCAUUUGUGUUGACUAAAAGAAAACUGUUUUAAGAAGCGUUGAACACCAAAGAAUUUGUAUAAAUGAAAAAUGAACAAGUUAAGGGACUAUUGAACGUUUCAAAACAUGCCAUGGUACCUUUGACUUGCUACAUUCAAUGACCUUAACAGUUAUUCAAGAAUACCGUAGCAAAAAAAGAUAGGGAACCCUUUGAAAUUAAGAGGGUAAUAUAUCACGACGUUAGAA